AGAGUUUGAUCCUGGCNNNNNNUGAANGCUGGCGGCAUGCCUUACACAUGCAAGUCNAACGGUAACAGGUCUUCGGAUGCUGACGAGUGGCGAACGGGUGAGUAAUACAUCGGAACGUGCCCGAUCGUGGGGGAUAACGCAGCGAAAGCUGUGCUAAUACCGCAUACGAUCUACGGAUGAAAGCGGGGGAUCGCAAGACCUCGCGCGGACGGAGCGGCCGAUGGCAGAUUAGGUAGUUGGUGGGAUAAAAGCUUACCAAGCCGACGAUCUGUAGCUGGUCUGAGAGGACGACCAGCCACACUGGGACUGAGACACGGCCCAGACUCCUACGGGAGGCAGCAGUGGGGAAUUUUGGACAAUGGGCGAAAGCCUGAUCCAGCCAUGCCGCGUGCAGGAUGAAGGCCUUCGGGUUGUAAACUGCUUUUGUACGGAACGAAACAGUCUUCUCUAAUAAAGGGGGCGAAUGACGGUACCGUAAGAAUAAGCACCGGCUAACUACGUGCCAGCCGCCGCGGUAAUAC
rnacentral:rRNA from 1 species